UACGGAAGGCAGCAGUGGGGAAUAUUGCACAAUGGGCGCAAGCCUGAUGCAGCCAUGCCGCGUGUAUGAAGAAGGCCUUCGGGUUGUAAAGUACUUUCAGUCGUGAGGAAGGUGUUAAGGUUAAUAACCUUAGCAAUUGACGUUAGCGACAGAAGAAGCACCGGCUAACUCCGUGCCAGCAGCCGCGGUAAUACGGAGGGUGCGAGCGUUAAUCGGAAUUACUGGGCGUAAAGGGCACGCAGGCGGUUAAUUAAGUUGGAUGUGAAAUCCCCGGGCUUAACCUGGGAAUGGCAUUCAAGACUGGUUAGCUAGAGUCUUGUAGAGGGGGUAGAAUUCCAUGUGUAGCGGUGAAAUGCGUAGAGAUGUGGAGGAAUACCGGUGGCGAAGGCGGCCCCUGGGACAAAGACUGACGCUCAUGUGCGAAAGCGUGGGGAGCAAACAGGAUUUAGAUA
rnacentral:rRNA from 1 species